CAAACCCUAAAUUUGUGGCACAUCCUGAUUCUGCAGUCAGCUGAGCUGGGUGCAAGGCAAACUCGUCACUUUCUUCCUCGGGCUGUAUCCUUUGAAGGCUUUGUUUCUAAAAGAUUGAUGAAAAUAAGGUGAGUUCCAGUUCCUGUGGUUGUGGUUUCAGUCCAAAACAUGCAUUUGAGCCCAUGUAGGCCAAAAAGUCAUUAUUUGUCCGUUAAAUGCCUAACCUCAGGGAAAGGCUGCCAUCCGCUAACGCUGAAGGUGCCGUGGGGCCCGCAGCGGUUCCGCCGCAGCCGCGGCCGCUGAUGGCGCCUCGGGAGCAGCCCAGGCCUCUCCGCUCGGCUCCUCCCCAGCGCUCACAGCCCCUGCCCAGCCGCCCUUUCCCACACGCUCUGGCUUUCCUCAGCCACCUGGCCGGGAUGUGGCUGCUCCUGACAGCCUGUCCUUAUCGGCAGCGUGUUUUGCACUGAUUUCAGCCUCUUCACAGCGUGUGUGACUGUGGGAACGCAGCGCGCUGGUGGAGAGUGUCCGUCUCCUUCAGCCACACGUCAGUGCCGCCUCAGCGCAUCAGGGAAAGCUUGUUAUCAGCCAUGGGAAUUUACAAGCUUUCCAACAAGACUGAAGAAAUCCAGGAAACCACAAUGACAGAUCCACUUGAAACAACCAUUUCAUGUCUUUUGCUGCCUGUUGAGCACAUACUCUAUUUUGAGAAUAUUCUAUCUAUCAAGAUGAAGAAAAAGAACCAUUCUGAUGGGUAUUUCAGAGAUUCUGCUGUCAGAUGCUUUUCUGCUUUCCACAAAGGCUCAAUCCUGACAUAAGUGUUGACUUCCCUAAAGUCACUUUAGGAAGCAGCACUACUGUGAAGCAGCAGGAAUCCUCCUGCAAGAGAUGAGGAUUCAUGUCAGGAUGACACUGCUGAGGAUUCACAGUACAUCAACACUGACCUGCCAGCCUCAAACAACACCCUCUUUCUUCGCAUUAGAAAUGGAAACACGUCCUCUGCAGGAAUUUUCCACUUAAUAGCUCCUGCUUUCCUACCGGGGGCCUCAGUGCACCACCACUGCAAUGCUGUAUUUCUUUCCACUGCAGUUUGACAUUUUGCAGCCAGAACAAGGAACGGCAUUCACUCCAUCCUGAUUUUUGAAAAACAUAUCUCUAUAGGCCCACAGAACGCACCCAGUGCAGCAAUCACCAGAGGAAAAUAGCAAAGGCAGCCAUAAAAUACUGCACUUUGCUGCAUAAAGGCUGAAGUGUUUUAGGAGUAGAUUUCAAAGGUAUUAGACACCUAAACAAUGGAGUAAGCAUCACAGCCGGAUUUUUCAAAGGCUUGCUGUCUUUUUCUACCCAUCACCUCAGCUUCACUGAAAUAUUUCCUGGAGGGCUCCAGAGUUUCUGCUGAGCUGAAGGUGCCUCAACAAUCUGAUUUCUCCUUCAGUGUUUUUAGAGCACCACAUGACCAGCAUUGCCCUGCAACACUGGGCAAAAUGUCAGGCGUCUCUGUCACACUUGUUUAAGACAGUCAGGCACCAAAGGCAAGCUCAAAGACCAGAGGGGUGAAAGCUCUACUUGUGUCUGUGAUUCCCCAGGGGUUCCACUGCAGAGCUAAGCUCGCUGACACACAGGCCCUGCAGAAGCGCGCUCAGUUUGAGCAUCAGCCAGUGUGCAGAGCACGUCGGUACAGAGGGGUGGGAGAAUAUCCUAGCUGGGCAGAUCUGCAUAUAUUCUGCUAGAUGGAUUAAAAAAUAGGUGCCAAGGAAAUUUGCCCAUGCAGGAUUCCCUCCACAAUUCUGGCAGAAAAGGAGAGGCUUUCUAUAGGUUGACAUGACAUGUCCAGCAACUCUUCUCUGAGAUGGAAGCAUGUAGGUUGGUUGGAAAUACCACAUUUUUACCACGAUGCAGAUAGUUACAUUCAACAUCCUUUUCCAUGCCUCAGUUCCUCUGGAGCACAUUUGCAUGAACACCUAUUAAAUAUCUUGAAACACUCCAGAUCAAGAUUAUUUGUGUUUAAAAAUUGUCAAU